rnacentral:rRNA from 1 species
CCAAUAGCGUAUAUUAAAGUUGUUGCAGUUAAAAAGCUCGUAGUUGAAUUUUGGGUCUGGCCGGGCGGUCCGCCCUCCGGGUGAGUACUGUUCCGACGCCGGGCCUAUCCUUCUGGAGAGUCGGCAUGUCCUUUAUUGGGUGUGCCGGGGAACCAGGACCAUUACCUUGAAAAAAUUAGAGUGUUCAAAGCAGGCGUAUGCUCGGAUACAUUAGCAUGGAAUAAUGAAAUAGGACGCGUGGUGCUAUUUUGUUGGUUUCUAGAACCGCCGUAAUGAUUAAUAGGGAUAGUUGGGGGCAUUAGUAUUCAAUUGUCAGAGGUGAAAUUCUUGGAUUUAUUGAAGACUAACUUCUGCGAAAGCAUUUGCCAAGGAUGUUUUCAUUAAUCAAGAACGAAAGUUAGGGGAUCGAAGACGAUCAGAUACCGUCGUAGUCUUAACCAUAAACUAUGCCGACUAGGAAUCGGGCGAUGUUAUUCUCAUGACUCGCCCGGCGCCUUAUG